CCCGGUGACCCGAUACCCAGGGGGCCACACCCGUUCCCAUCCCGAAUACGGCAGUUAAGCCCCUGGGGCCGAUGAUACUGGCGGCGAUCUGCCUGUCCGGGAAAGUAGGUGUUGCCGGGC
rnacentral:rRNA from 1 species